UACGUAGGGUGCAAGCGUUGUCCGGAAUUAUUGGGCGUAAAGAGCUCGUAGGCGGCUUGUCGCGUCGGCUGUGAAAACCCAGGGCUUAACCCUGGGCUGGCAGUGGAUACGGGCAGACUAGAGGUAGGUAGGGGAGAAUGGAAUUCCCGGUGUAGCGGUGAAAUGCGCAGAUAUCGGGAGGAACACCGGUGGCGAAGGCGGUUCUCUGGGCCUUACCUGACGCUGAGGAGCGAAAGCGUGGGGAGCGAACAGG
rnacentral:rRNA from 1 species